UACGAAGGGGGCUAGCGUUGCUCGGAAUUACUGGGCGUAAAGGGCGCGUAGGCGGCACUGUUAGUCAGGCGUGAAAGUCCUGGGCUCAACCUGGGAACUGCGCUUGAUACGGCAGAGCUAGAGGAUGGAAGAGGCUCGCGGAAUUCCCAGUGUAGAGGUGAAAUUCGUAGAUAUUCGGAAGAACACCAGUGGCGAAGGCGGCUCACUGGCCCGUAACUGACGCUGAGGUGCGAAAGCGUGGGGAGCAAACAGG
rnacentral:rRNA from 1 species